AACCACUUCCGUGGGAGAGCGGCGGACGGGUGAGUAACACGUGGGCAAUCUGCCCGACAGACCGGGAUAACGCUUGGAAACGAGUGCUAAUACCGGAUACGCUCUUGAAUCGCAUGGUUCGAGAGGGUAAGCUGCUUUUGCAGCACUGUCGGAUGAGCCCGCGGCGCAUUAGCUAGUUGGUGAGGUAACGGCUCACCAAGGCGACGAUGCGUAGCCGACCUGAGAGGGUGACCGGCCACACUGGGACUGAGACACGGCCCAGACUCCUACGGGAGGCAGCAGUAGGGAAUCUUCCGCAAUGGGCGCAAGCCUGACGGAGCAACGCCGCGUGAGUGAUGAAGGCCUUCGGGUUGUAAAACUCUGUCUUCUGUGAAGAACAAGCCUAUGACGAGAACGCUUAGGCCCUGACGGUAACAGAGGAGGAAGCCCCGGCUAACUACGUGCCAGCAGCCGCGGUAAUACGUAGGGGGCAAGCGUUGUCCGGAAUCACUGGGCGUAAAGCGCGCGCAGGCGGCUGUCUACGUCCGGGGUGAAAGCCAGAAGCUCAACUCUGGGAUUGCCUGGAUACGGGAUGGCUUGGAGAUCGAGAGGCAAGGAAUUCCACGUGUAGCGGUGAAAUGCGUAGAGAUGUGGAGGAACACCUGUGGCGAAGGCGCCUUGCUGGCCGAUUUCUGA
rnacentral:rRNA from 1 species